UCAACUAGUUCGAUCCUGUGUUUGCGGUAAAUAACUAUUCGUUGACUCGCUUAGGAUGUAUUUUUUGAAUGUGAUCCGUUGGACGUGCAUUUAAGUCUAUAAUUGGUAUUCUGAUGCGGUGUGUAUAGUCGUCACCAAACAUUUAUCCUUGAAUUUUGUAAAAUCGAGUCAAGCGAAUCGAAAUAAUGGUUAUUAACGAAGAAAUCUAAUUCUAAAUUGUGCGAUACGAGUAACUUCAGUAUUUUGACAUUUUACAAUUUUUAUUUUAUUAAUUUAUGGCUUUAUGACGAAAGAUAAAUUAAGGUUGAGUCUAGUUUACAAAUGUAUAAAGUUUAUGUAAAUUUAAUUCGUAACGUUUCUUGUAAAAUAAGUUUCAAACGAUAUGGUCUAAUUUUAAGGUUAGUUUAUUAUUAGGAUCAGCAAUUUUCAGUUUGUCGCUCAGUUACUUUGCCUGUAAUGAAGGAUAAAAUAAUUUGGGAUACCCCUUCUUUUUCUCUUUCACAUCCUAUUCUAGUAUACUAUAAUAAAGACACUAAAUAAAAAUAAAUAAAAUUCACAUUUUGAA